AUUAAUCAUUUUAUCCUAUAUUUCAAUUGUUGAAUACAUAUUGACAUAUAGACCAAGGAGUGAGCUCAAUGCUUAUAAGAGCAUUUAGUGGCAUGAUCCAACUUCUAUGUUAAUGCUCCUUCUAGGCUUCCAUGAUAGCAAUACAGGACAGAAGAGGACACUGGAUAUAUGAAAACUGAAAAGAGACUUGCUGGUAAACACCACAGAGACACCAAACGAAAGAAUUUGCUGUUGAAGCAUCUUGCAGAGUUUUGCUGGUCACAUCAGAACUGCCCCAUUCCCCCCAACCUCCAGUCAAAAAAGAAAACAAUGGGGACAGAGAAAAAAUAAGAAAAAAAGCCACUUGUUUUAUGGUAUUCUUUGUAGCUAUGUGAUUAAUCAGGUGUAAUAGGCUCAAACAGUUAAGUUGUACAUAAGCAAUUA
rnacentral:misc_RNA from 1 species